CUGAUAAGCCGUGCGGCUAGUGUGCCGGCGAUACCGUAUGAAACCGCAGCGCAAUGGAUCAUCGAGUGUAGACAAGUUUAGAUAAGAUUAUUUUGAGUGUGUUGAGGUCUUGUUAAUUUUCAACGCGGUAUAUCGGAGCGAGACUCGGCGGACAGCGACGACAAUGUCUGGCUUUGACGAGAAUCCGUUCGGGGCGCCGAACAUCAACGACCCGUUUUCGGAUCCCUCAAUUAGGAGAGCUGUCACCUCUACUCCAGUCAGUAGAGGCUUGGAGGAUUAUAAUCCCUUCGCGGAACAAGGAACACAAGGUACGGCACAAGUCAGAGGUGCCUCGAAUCCUCCCAUUUACGGAGGACUCGGAUCGACCCAACAGCCUGCUACGCUUCCAACUUCUAAUCAGGAGGCUCCACCACCUGCCUACGCGCGUACACCCCAGCAGACCGUCAACGCGGCACUAGGGAGCAACAUAUCUCCUCCUUUAGAACGAAGACCGGAGCCAGAAUGGAAAACAAGGACAGAAGAAGACAUGAGAAAUGCCUACUACCCAAAGCGGAAUUGGCCACCGUUACCUGACAAGUGUUGCUUCCAACCAUGCUUCUAUCAAGACAUCGAGGUGGAAAUUCAUUCAGACUUUCAGAAUACAGUCAGACAACUCUACAGAUUAUGGAUGUUCCAUGGCUGUGUUCUAUUGCUGAACGUUAUCGGUGGAUUCGUGCUGUUGCUAAAAGACGGAGAAUUCUCAAUGUUCGGUCUCGGAAUCUUGUACCUUAUACUAUUCACACCGUUCUCGUUUCUAUGCUGGUUCCGACCGGCUUACAGAGCCUUCAAACACGACAGUUCGUUCAACUUUAUGGUAUUCUUCGUCGUCUUCUUCUUUCAAUUAAUAGUAACAGCGAUACAGUCUAUAGGCAUUCCUGGCGCUGGAACUUGCGGUAUAAUAACUGCUAUUAAGAUGUUCGAUAAGUCACCCUCGGGGAUCUUUAUCGGCAUACUGCUACUCUUCGUUGCCUUUACUUUCGCCGUCGCUGCAGCCGGCGAUCUUCUAUUGUUGACUAAGAUCCAUCGUAUCUAUCGUUCGUCGGACGCCAGCGUUUCGAAAGCACAACAGGAAUUCACCACGACUUUCUUGCGCAACGAGCACGUGCAAAACGCAGCGAGCAACAUGGCUGCGUCUGCUGUUCGCGCCCAAAUGUCGAACGCUGCCGAUCAGCCCCGUUAUUAAUGCAGUCGCGACGCUCUUCAGGUAUCCUGAUGUCUUUUUGCCGUUCAGUAAAACCGAUAGAGAAAACCUAGUGUACCCUGACCGCAGAGAGAGCCGUGCACUGCCGUGAGACUUUCGAACGGUCCCGCGGGAAUACAUAAUUCUAUUAUUGAGAUCGGGACGCUGUAGCACCGUUUUCGUUCGCGUUUCUAGAAACCAUACCUGUGCAUGCUUUCUUCGUCGGGUCGCGAUCAAAACGAGAAAGGAAAUGGAAAUGUCGAGCCGCGUAAUUUAUUGAGCAAAAUUCCUUAACGCGCGCGUAAUCCGCGGACGACCGCUUGCCCGCAUUAACGCCUUUACUGCUCUUUUCGUUUCGUUUCGUUUCGUAACACAGUAUUUCAGAUCCGAUUAACAGGCAGUGUCCGUAUGUAUGUGUGUGUGGGUUGUGGCUGGGUGGAUGGGUGUGUAUUUUACGUGUGGCCGCGUGUGCGUGUGUGUCUAAUCUACGAGACGAGUGUAUUAUUGUUUCUUUCCUUGUUUCGUUUUUUUUUUCAUUCACCGUGUCGCGAGACAAUCGACAAUUCGUCUACCAUAAGGACUGCGUGUCUAUUAAUCAUUCAUAUCACCGUUCUUUUAUGUUAAUCGCUUCUUAUAUACGUAUUAUAUAUACAUAUAAUUGCUAGCUUUUGUAUUUUAGUGGCACCUGUUCACGAUGCUACGACGAUCGCGCGAGCGAUUCUCGAACGGGAAUACGCACCCCCUCGGUUCUUGCUGAAAAUCAAAAUAACUCGAACAGCCGUGUCCACGAGUGUAGAGUUUAAUUGUUCCGACAUUGUUGACCGAUUAAUCGUUAAUUUAAUGAUGAAUUAUACUGAAACGUCGGUGUCCUCUUUAAUCUUCUCUCCCACCGAUAUACGUCCUGUGGAAACACUCCUUGCAAUGUGUAAUAUAUUAUAUACAUAUACAUAUAUACGUAUGUAUAUCUUAUACGUAUAUGCAUAUAUAAGAUAUAUAUAAAUAUAUGCAUAUUUUUCUUUAUCGAGGUGUUAUUUGGAUCGUCCUCGGGGAGAACGUUCUGUCAAAGUCUAACGGACACUAUCUCUCGCUCUCUCGCUCUCUCCAUCUCUCUCUCUCACUCUCUCUCUCUCUCUAUCUCUCGUAUGUGUCCACCAUCCGUCGCAUGUUUGAUCGUUUAUUAACGAACGAUGACUUAUUUAUAGACUAAGGAAACGUUGGGUUAGAUCGUUGCUGUUACAUUAACCGGUUGUAUCUGAUCGUCUCAAGUCCAAACUCGGAUGCGUUCCAAGAAUGGGAAAAUACCGUUGUGGUCGGUUCAAGAGCCUUUUGUUCAACCGUGACUCGAAUCGAACGGAAUCCGCCGCGCCGAGAUCUAUUUUUUCUUUCAUUUUGCACGCGAGACAAUGGGUUAAAAAGAAAUUCAUCGAGCCGAUGAUUCCUGGUAAUCAGCAUGUUUGUUGCGUCACGCGGUCGAAACGAGGUGAGAAAUUCGUUCUCGUACGAAAUACACGGUUACGAGAGGAACCUACGUGACGAAGGUUGUUUAAAUUUUAUAAAUACGCUGGUAUAUUUGUACUUAUGUAAGCAGUAUAGAAAGAACGAACUAAUAAAAAUGAUUUUAGUUUACACAGAACGCGCGGCAUUCUCUCUUCCGUUGGAAACGUUACCGCCGCGGCGAUCUCACAAUAAAUUCGACAAUCGUUCCAGUCCGAUGGUUCUCAGUAUUGUUUCACCUGUAAUCAGAACGUUUAACGCCUAUCGAUCUUCGUCUCUCGCCGCGAGCCAGCUUGUUAGAGUAAUCGACGUGAAUUAUGUUAUACCUUCGGCUCGGUACGCCGCCAUUGGAUCAUCCGGAAACGAGCAGCCGGGAUCGACCUCGUUCGAGCUUCCGGUACCGAUCAGCUUCACCACGAAUACGGCGUCCAUCAGUUCGAUUUUCGAUUUGUACAUCAGCUUCGCGUGACCUUCGGCCAGUCUGAGGAACAUUUGUAAUCGCAUUUGUACCUGUUUAAGCGAGCAAAGCCGAGCUAAGAUAGCACCGAGCGCGCACAAAGAGCCGAUUCGCCGACACCAGUACAAAGAAAUCAUUUAUCGUGCGACAAAGGAGAUAAUCGACGAUCAGAUCGUGAUACCUGAUAAGGCUAUCGAGUAAUCGCACCGUUGUCCGUUCCUCCCUUCUUUCUGGCCGAGCUCUGUGAUAGAGAUAAGUGGCUCUGAGCACCAGCUCCGCCUCCUUAGUGAUUUCCGGUUGCAACGAGUGUACGUGAGACAAAUAGUCCCGCAAGGACUCCUCCUUCCAUAUACCCUCGGACUUUAGCAAUUCGAUAUGAUUGUUCGAGUCUCUGGCGAAACGAAGCUCGAUUAGAAUCAAGAAAAACGACGUCGACGAUCCCGAGCAGCGGUUCUUUAAUUACAUUUGCGCCGACUCCUCUCCGGUCUCGCAAGCCGCUUUCAGAAUGUGGCCGGACGUCAGCCUGUCCCAUUCCUCGUUCCUGUUGUCCUUCAACAACAAUAUCAGAUCGAAUCUCGACAAGAGUGGAUCGCCAAGCUUCGUCUCCCAUUCUUGAUCCUCGUCGAACUGGCCGCCGCUCGGGUUGAUCGCCGCGAUCACCGAGCAUCUAGAGUUCAGCGUGCUGACUAACCCAGCUUUCGCAAUGGAUAUCGUUUGCUGCUCCAUCGCCUCGUGAACAGAGGUUCUGUCUUGGGUGCUCAUUGUCGUGAACUCGUCCACGCAGCAGACACCGCCGUCGGCUAACACCAACGCUCCAGCUUCCAAAUGCCAGCCGUCCGAGUCCUGCUUGCGAGGAAUUUCGUGGAAGAUUACUAACUCUGAUGGCAGUUGCCGUAAGCCCGGCUGCGGUUGAUCCGAUACCAGUUGUUAGCACCGAUCGCAUAGCCAACCGGGACGCUGCACGAAGCAACUGGGACUUGCCAGUCCCUGGAUCGCCGAUCAAAAGAAGAUGCGGCUCGCCUCGCACCCUCGUUCCUUUAUUUUUGUACGAAUACGAAUGUGAGCUUUUGUACUCGGAAUAUAGUAUAAAGUAACGUAAA